CCUAGCAACCCAGGAGCACUGAGUGCAGAGGUGGAGCUCUGCACAGAAGAAACUGCCUGCCCCUAGACUACUUUGAACAAGCCACAAGAAAUUCGGGUUUUUCUGUGGUUUGGUGUGGCUCCCUCCGGCUGCGCAGGGAUCUUCCUGAUUUAUUUACCUUGUUUUGUGGGGAUCAAGACCUCUCUGAUCAAAGCACUCGUGGAAAUUAAAUAGCGAGCAGAGAAACAGCUCUUUCAGGAUGGAGGGGUAGGCAUUGAGAGACAAGAAAGGAUGUUAGGAAGCGGCAUCGCCUUGGCAAUCAAACACGUUCUUUAGUUUUGGCCAAAAGAACAAGGGUAGAGAGGGUGUGUCCGGAAUGGUGUAGGGACGCAGGAAAGUCCAGGACUCUUCCUAGAUUAAACCCUCCUUCUUCUCUAACACGGUAGCGUGAGCAGAGAUAUCCCUUAUACCCUCCUCCUCUUUUUGGCCCAUUCAUCAGUUGGGGGUGAAGUAUUUUCCCCAACUUGAGUGAUAACUUGAAACCAGGUUGCGUUCAUAGCUUCUCCUGGGAUGCUGUGCCCUUAGUCAAAGGAGACCCUCUACAAGUUCCGCGGAGGUCCCAGAUCCUCCCUCUCGGGGUACUUCAAGGAAGCGGAUCACGCACACCCCUUGGGCGUGAUCUCUUAGCCAAGAAUCAGGGAUUCAGAGGAUAGGAGGAGCUGAAUCAGCACACCAAGAAAGUGGGGCAAGUUUUGGGUAUUCUGACCACAAGCCUUUGUAUGGAUUCUGCUGGGACUUUGACUGAGAAUGUGUACAGAAAAUCACACAAGUAUUUCUGCAUCUUUGUUUUUCGAGAUGUUGGGACAAAGCUAGGUCCUAUAUAGAGCGUGGGAAAAGGUUUGCUGGAGAUUACUCGGACUUAAGGGUUCCCGAGGCAGGUGUCUUGCUGACAUUCUGAGAAGACCUGGUUCUCUCUGCAGCUUUUCCACCAACUCCUCCCUAGGAGGCUCCUACAGGCGUCUGAUUUCUCUGCUCUCAGUUCAUUCUAACAAUGGACUUGCACUGGAGAAAGACAGAGAUGUGUUGGUCAUAUGCUUUGUGCAUGAGCGUGCAUGCGUGCGUGCGUACGUGCGUGCGUGCGUGUGUGCGCCCAUGCUUUACAAAGGAAAACUUUAAAGCCAAGAGAAGGCAAGUCACUAUCCUAGGCUCACCCAACCAAUGAAGGGCAGAGGUUGGAGUCUCAUCAGACUUGGGCUGGCUUUCAAAUUGAAACUCUGUGUGGGUUAGGUACAUAGUCACAUAGCUACUGCAGCUUUAGACUGCCCACUCCUCAGUCCAUAGCUGCAAUUUCAUACUUAGACUCUUUUUUGUUUUUCUUAGAGAGACUGGCAUGCCCACAAAUGUACAAGCUCUGGAGGAGGGGCAGCCAUUCAUCUGCGUAUGCCUAUGACUCAGGGGUUUCCAGGAAAGCAAGACUUUCAAUACUGACAUCAGGCAAGUCUCAGAGCUGGGGACCGAACCCAGGGCCUUGCGCUUGCUAGGCAAGCGCUCUACCACUGAGCUAAAUCCCCAACACCCCUCCUCCAUCUUCUAAGCACGCCUAGGUUCUUCAAAGAGCUAACAAAGGCAGCAUAAGACAUGUGGUCUCAUUUCUGCACAGUCACUUCUAUAUGCUUGAGUUUCUCCCGAACCAUGAACAACAACAUUCAUUAAUUCCCAUUUACCUUCAUGAGCAACGUUCUUCACCGCUGGGAACAUUAAAAGCUCGUGGUGCUGAUGCUGGAAGUCAGUGAAAGAGGAAGGAGAUGCUUGGUGUUUCUGGGGAUCAGCAUCUACCUCCUGGGAUGAUGGGCUAUGGGAGAAUAGAAGACAGAUGAGGAUGCGAGGUAGAAGCUACCAUCCCUCUCAUUGCCAAAAACUGAACGGUCAAGCCUAAGUCAUACAGAAAAACCUGGUCAGGACUGGACUCUGUGUCCUGCUGUGUGGGACCCAAACACCUACGUACUGUCAUUUUUUCUUACUGGUCAAGUUAUUCUGUGAUGAAGGAGUGAGGUCCAAGUUUUUGCAGACACUUUCCUUUUAGUGUAACAUUGUAUCCCAGGCCAUGUUACUAACUUUCUCAAACAAAGAUGCUCCAGGCAUAGUGUAUACAUUGAUUUAUGAUUUAUUAUUUUUGGUGUUCUCCUGGUGAUUACAUUAGGAAGUUACAGGAGUUGGUUCAUAUCCCGUUGAUUAAAUGCUAUGGGUUUGGGGGUGUCCGAGGGUUCCUAAGAUGCUGUAAUCUCAUCUGAU
rnacentral:sRNA from 1 species